UACGAGGGGGCGAGCGUUGUUCGGAAUUAUUGGGCGUAAAGGGUGCGUAGGCGGUUUGGUAAGUCUUAUGUGAAAUCUAUGGGCUCAACUCAUGGUCUGCCAUGAGAAACUGCCGGGCUUGAGUAUGGGAGAGGUGAGUGGAAUUCCUGGUGUAGCGGUGAAAUGCGUAGAUAAUCAGGAGGAACACCUGUGGCGAAAGCGGCUCACUGGACCAUAACUGACGCUGAUGCACGAAAGCUAGGGGAGCAAACAGG
rnacentral:rRNA from 1 species